rnacentral:rRNA from 1 species
GAUGAACGCUGGCGGCGUGCCUAAUACAUGCAAGUCGAGCGAACAGACGAGGAGCUUGCUCCUUCGACGUUAGCGGCGGACGGGUGAGUACACGUAGGUAACCUACCUAUAAGACUGGGAUAACUUCGGGAAACCGGAGCUAAUACCGGAUAAUAUUUCGAACCGCAUGGUUCGAUAGUGAAAGAUGGCUUUGCUAUCACUUAUAGAUGGACCUGCGCCGUAUUAGCUAGUUGGUAAGGUAACGGCUUACCAAGGCAACGAUACGUAGCCGACCUGAGAGGGGGAUCGGCCAAACUGGAACUGAGACACGGCCCAGACUCCUACGGGAGGCAGAAGUAGGGAAUCUUCCGCAAUGGGCGAAAGCCUGACGGAGCAACGCCGCGUGAGUGAUGAAGGUCUUCGGAUCGUAAAACUCUGUUAUUAGGGAAGAACAAACGUGUAAGUAACUGUGCACGUCUUGACGGUACCUAAUCAGAAAGCCACGGCUAACUACGU